rnacentral:tRNA from 1 species
ACUUUCAAAGGAUAACAGUAAUCCAAUGGUCUUAGGAACCACUAAUCUUGGUGCAAAUCCCUUUGAAAGUA